GAUGAACGCUGGCGGCGUGCCUAAUACAUGCAAGUCGAGCGAACGGACGAGAAGCUUGCUUCUCUGAUGUUAGCGGCGGACGGGUGAGUAACACGUGGAUAACCUACCUAUAAGACUGGGAUAACUUCGGGAAACCGGAGCUAAUACCGGAUAAUAUUUUGAACCGCAUGGUUCAAAAGUGAAAGACGGUCUUGCUGUCACUUAUAGAUGGAUCCGCGCUGCAUUAGCUAGUUGGUAAGGUAACGGCUUACCAAGGCAACGAUGCAUAGCCGACCUGAGAGGGUGAUCGGCCACACUGGAACUGAGACACGGUCCAGACUCCUACGGGAGGCAGCAGUAGGGAAUCUUCCGCAAUGGGCGAAAGCCUGACGGAGCAACGCCGCGUGAGUGAUGAAAGUCUUCGGAUCGUAAAACUCUGUUAUUAGGGAAGAACAUAUGUGUAAGUAACUGUGCACAUCUUGACGGUACCUAAUCAGAAAGCCACGGCUAACUACGUGCCAGCAGCCGCGGUAAUACGUAGGUGGCAAGCGUUAUCCGGAAAUUAUUGGGCGUAAAGCGCGCGUAGGCGGUUUUUUAGUCUGAUGUGAAAGCCCACGGCUCAACCGUGGAGGGUCAUUGGAAACUGGAAAACUUGAGUGCAGAAGAGGAAAGUGGAAUUCCAUGUGUAGCGGUGAAAUGCGCAGAGAUAUGGAGGAACACCAGUGGCGAAGGCGACUUUCUGGUCUGUAACUGACGCUGAUGUGCGAAAGCGUGGGGAUCAAACAGGAUUAGAUACCCUGGUAGUCCACGCCGUAAACGAUGAGUGCUAAGUGUUAGGGGGUUUCCGCCCCUUAGUGCUGUAGCUAACGCAUUAAGCACUCCGCCUGGGGAGUACGACCGCAAGGUUGAAACUCAAAGGAAUUGACGGGGACCCGCACAAGCGGUGGAGCAUGUGGUUUAAUUCGAAGCAACGCGAAGAACCUUACCAAAUCUUGACAUCCUUUGACAACUCUAGAGAUAGAGCCUUCCCCUUCGGGGGACAAAGUGACAGGUGGUGCAUGGUUGUCGUCAGCUCGUGUCGUGAGAUGUUGGGUUAAGUCCCGCAACGAGCGCAACCCUUAAGCUUAGUUGCCAUCAUUAAGUUGGGCACUCUAAGUUGACUGCCGGUGACAAACCGGAGGAAGGUGGGGAUGACGUCAAAUCAUCAUGCCCCUUAUGAUUUGGGCUACACACGUGCUACAAUGGACAAUACAAAGGGCAGCGAAACCGCGAGGUCAAGCAAAUCCCAUAAAGUUGUUCUCAGUUCGGAUUGUAGUCUGCAGCUCGACUACAUGAAGCUGGAAUCGCUAGUAAUCGUAGAUCAGCAUGCUACGGUGAAUACGUUCCCGGGUCU
rnacentral:rRNA from 1 species